rnacentral:rRNA from 1 species
GAUGAACGCUGGCGGCAUGCCUAAUACAUGCAAGUCGAGCGAACAGACGAGGAGCUUGCUCCUCUGACGUUAGCGGCGGACGGGUGAGUAACACGUGGAUAACCUACCUAUAAGACUGGGAUAACUUCGGGAAACCGGAGCUAAUACCGGAUAAUAUAUUGAACCGCAUGGUUCAAUAGUGAAAGACGGUUUUGCUGUCACUUAUAGAUGGAUCCGCGCCGCAUUAGCUAGUUGGUAAGGUAACGGCUUACCAAGGCGACGAUGCGUAGCCGACCUGAGAGGGUGAUCGGCCACACUGGAACUGAGACACGGUCCAGACUCCUACGGGAGGCAGCAGUAGGGAAUCUUCCGCAGUGGGCGAAAGCCUGACGGAGCAACGCCGCGUGAGUGAUGAAGGUCUUCGGAUCGUAAAACUCUGUUAUUAGGGAAGAACAAAUGUGUAAGUAACUAUGCACGUCUUGACGGUACCUAAUCAGAAAGCCACGGCUAACUACGUG